AGACGAGGGGGCUAGCGUUGUUCGGAAUGACUGGGCGUAAAGGGCGCGUAGGCGGUUUUUUAAGUGAGGCGUGAAAGCCCUGGGCUUAACCCAGGAGGUGCGUUUCAUACUGGAAAGCUUGAGUACGAGAGAGGAAAGUGGAAUUCCUAGUGUAGAGGUGAAAUUCGUAGAUAUUAGGAAGAACACCAGUGGCGAAGGCGGCUUUCUGGCUCGUAACUGACGCUGAGGCGCGAAAGCGUGGGGAGC
rnacentral:rRNA from 1 species